ACCAGGUGUGGUGGCACAUGCCUGUGAUCCCAGCCACUCUGGAGGCUGAGGCAGGAGAAUCACAAAAGCCAGCCUCAACAAGAGAGGCCCUAAGCAGCUCAGUGAGACCCUGUCUCUA
rnacentral:sRNA from 1 species